rnacentral:lncRNA from 1 species
CCAAAUUCACUCUUUCCAUAUCUCCAAUCUAUCCCUCCCUCUUCUCUUUUGUUUUGUUUUCUUCACUUUCUGCAUCAAACAUCUUCCGUUGUCUAACAUAACUGAAUCAUUGUCGGGGAAAAUGAUAUCCUGGCGGUAACCGAGUGCGGAGGACCUGGUCUCCUCGAACAAUCAUAAUGCUUGGACUUUUGCUGAUUAUGGUUUGUUAGAAGGAUUAUGGUUUGUUAGAAGACAUUCAUCGUCCCUCACUUGACCGUUCAGCCCCAAUCUGGCCAUCUCCCUGCCCUACUUGUUCUACUCCUCUCAGGUUCCUCUUUUCUCCAUAUUUCUUCAUUGCUUAUGAACUUUAAAAUGGCAUGGAAUUCAAUACUAGUUGUAAACCUCAUGUUAGAUUAGAUCAACUUUCAAGUGGGCAAAAGUUCGAAGGAAGGAUUUUUCUAACAUUAUAGUACUCAAAGCAAUGAUUUUUUUUAGAACUUUUGUAGUUUUGUUUCCAGUUUGUUGUUUGUUUAGCAUUAUAUUUUACCAUUAUGUUUAGCAAUGGACUAAGUGGUUGGCAAGCUACCAAGGCCCCUAGUUUCUCCUUCAAGUUAGGCUAUGUUAAAUUUCUUACUGUUCUUCAAACCUACUCAUUGACCUUUCUAAAUGCUUCUGCAGUUUUGAAUUCAUUGAAUCAUUUGGGAAUUCAAAUAGGAUUGGUUUAUCAAAUUAUUCUUUCUCUUUUGCUUUCCAAGUUGUUCAUUUACCUUUGUCACAUAUCAAUCAUCAUCUAACUCUGACGUAAUUUUGUUAUUUUCUGCAGGUAAGCAAUUCUUUAGUUCGAUAUGGGUGCACGAUGGCCUGGCAAAGGGCGUGAUGCACUAGGGUAAUCCACUAGGAAUUUUGGUUGCUUAUGAUGAAUAUGGACUUGUCUGUCAUUGCUUUUGGAAAACUACCUUUUAAAUGUGAUUUAUUUAGAAACAUCUCAAAGACGC